rnacentral:sRNA from 1 species
GGUAAGCCACCUCAUGGAAGCGGUAUCUCCCGAUUUACAAAAGCAAGGCUUUUCCAGCCGUAAUUUUUGUUAAUCGGGAAUAUAGCGGACAGCAGCUGUAAUG